CUGAGAACAAAUAAAAGGUAAUAAAGAUUAUCUCUAUAUUCAAUCUUAGUGAUAUUAAAGAAAUUGAGUUCAUCUACUGUAUCAGCUCCGCAUCCCACAACCGAGCCGUGUCUUCUCCGCUGCGUCCGAAAACAGGACAGUGUCUGGCCCAAAGAAGGGUGUCCGACACCGUCUCGCGCACGCUCCCGCUGAGUCUCCGUGUCGGCACCGCGUCGGAAGCUGAGAAGCACGGCCUCCGAGCCGUGUCGGAGCUUCACUUAAUCUAUUUAUACUCCAUCGAACGGUGAAGGGAACUUGCAGAGUAAUGCAUUCAUUUAUCGGAGAUAUCAGGUUCAGGUUUUGAUCAAAUAUUUCAUUGAUGGGCACCUACUGCAAUAAUAACCUAGUGUGCGACUUGUAUUACCCACACUACUCAAUAACCAAUCGUGGUGUUCUGUCUAGAAGAAACUCGUCAUGCCAAAACCCAAUUUAUUUUGGUUUCCACAAACACCGUUUUGGUUCAGUACUAGCUGGUAUUGGUAUGGAGGAAGUUGUUAAAGAAGUGAAUGGAGAAAAUGAAAGAAGGUUUAAGUGGAUUGAGAUUGGCAAAAAGGUCACAAUAGAACAACGACAGGCCAUAUCUGAACUUCCUUUCAGGAUGUCCAAUCGAAGCAAAGCCUUGAUGAGACAGAUUAUAUGUUUUUCUGCAGAGAAAGGCACCAUAUCUGAUCUUUUGGAAUCAUGGGUGAGGAUUAUGAACCCUAUCAGAGCAGACUGGCUUUCAGUUCUGAAAGAGUUGAGAAUGAUGGAACAUCCUGUUUACCUUGAGGUUGCAAAACAUGCUCUUCAAGAAGAAUCAUUUGAAGUGAAUAUUCGUGACUAUACCAAGAUAAUCCAUUAUUAUGGCAAGCACAAUCUACUAGAAGAUGCUGAAAAUUUUCUCACACUCAUGAAGGAAAGGGGUUUCAUCUAUGAUCAAGUAAUUCUCACUACCAUGGUGCACAUGUACAGCAAGGCUGGCCAUCAUGACCGGGCCAAGGAGUAUUUUGAAGAGAUCAGAUUGCUUGGUGAACCUUUGGAUAAAAGAUCAUAUGGCGCAAUGAUCAUGGCCUACAUCAGAGCUGGAAUGCCUGAAGAAGGAGAGAAUUUACUUCAAGAAAUGGAGACACAAGAAAUAACCGCAGGCAGUGAGGUUUAUAAGGCACUGCUUCGAGCGUACUCUUUAAUUGGCAAUGCUGAAGGUGCACAAAGGGUGUUUGAUGCAAUUCAAUUGGCUGGUAUCACCCCAAAUGAUAAGAUGUGUAGUUUGGUUGUUAAUGCUUAUGCAAUGACUGGACAAAGUCAAAAGGCUCUAAUUGCAUUUGAAAAUAUGAGAAAAGCAAGUAUCAAACCCACUGAUAAAUGCAUAGCUUCAGUAUUGGUUGCUUAUGAGAAGGAAGGCAAAAUAAAUACAGCAUUGGAAUUUCUACUAGAUUUGGAGAAAGAUGGCAUCAUGGUUGGGGAAGAAGCCUCUGCAGUAUUAGCUAAGUGGUUCCGAAAACUAGGGGUGGUGGAAGAGGUGGAGCUUGUUUUAAGAGACUUUGCCACCGUCACCAGAUAAGUUAAUGUAGAAGUUACUGCAUAUUAUUUAUUUGAAGUUCUGUGGAUCAAUUUUAACUGUUUUGAAAAUGAAUUAAUAUGCAAUGCAAUGAAUAUUUGAACUGUUCUGGAAAUGGUUCUUUGAUGAAAGUUACUCGAUGCAUUGGUACUCUAGCUUUGAGAUAUCAUGAACAUUAUGCAAUAUGCACUGAAUUUCUCCUGUUUUUCCAUCCCUGAUCAAGCCACCAGAGCUAAUAUGCUGGAUAUAAAGAUAAGGAACCAAUGUAAACCUUAUCCUUUAUCACUGCAUUUCUCGAGGUUGAAAAUUCUAAAGUGCAAUCUCUUCAAUGGGUACAAUGAAGGGUGAACAGUUAUAUCUCCCUUUUGGAUUAUGAUGCUCCAGCAGAAAGAUAUGUGCUCUAGCCAAAUCAUCCACAUGAACCAUAUGGUAACGAAUCACUCCAAUUUCUUCCUUUUUGCC